rnacentral:rRNA from 1 species
GACGAACGCUGGCGGCGCGCCUAACACAUGCAAGUCGAGCGAGAACCGGGACUUCGGUCCCGGGGACAGCGGCGAACGGGUGAGUAACACGUGGAUAACCUGCCCUCGGCACCGGAAUAGCCCGGGGAAACUCGGAUUAAUGCCGGAUAGCCCCACAUCCCUGCGGGGAACGUGGGAAAAGGUAGCUUCGGCCUCUGGCCGAGGAUGGGUCCGCGGUGGAUUAGCUUGUUGGUGCGGGUAAUGGCCCACCAAGGCGACGAUCCAUAGCUGGUCUGAGAGGACGAUCAGCCACACUGGGACUGAGACACGGCCCAGACUCCUACGGGAGGCAGCAGUGGGGAAUCUUGCGCAAUGGGCGAAAGCCUGACGCAGCGACGCCGCGUGCGGGAAGAAGGCCUGGUGUAA